AACGCACCUUGCACCCUUUGGUAUUCCGAAGGGUAUGCUCGUUUGAGUGUCAUUGUACUCUCACACUCUCUGAUCCUUUGGAUUGGGAGUGGUGGACUUGGGUGUUGCUGUUACUGCGCGGCUCACCUCAAAUGCAUUAGUGUAACUCCUGGUUGGACAUAGUACGGCGUGAUAAGUGUCUUCGCCGGCGCCUCGAAAGAGGGUGGCUGAUUGGGAGCUCUGUGCUUCUUAACUGUCUUUGGACACUCUCUGACAACUUGACCUCAAAUCGAGUAGGACUACCCGCUGAACUUAA
rnacentral:misc_RNA from 1 species